rnacentral:rRNA from 1 species
GACCAACGCUGGCGGCGUGCUUAACACAUGCAAGUCGAACGGAAAGGCCCUGCUUGCAGGGUGCUCGAGUGGCGAACGGGUGAGUAACACGUGGGUGAUCUGCCCCUUACUUUGGGAUAAGCCUGGGAAACUGGGUCUAAUACUGGAUAGGACCAUGCUGUAGGUGGUGUGGUGGAAAGAUUAGUUUCGGUAAGGGAUGAGCUCGCGGCCUAUCAGCUUGUUGGUGGGGUAAUGGCCUACCAAGGCGUCGACGGGUAGCCGGCCUGAGAGGGUGGACGGCCACAUUGGGACUGAGAUACGGCCCAGACUCCUACGGGAGGCAGCAGUGGGGAAUAUUGCACAAUGGGCGCAAGCCUGAUGCAGCGACGCCGCGUGGGGGAUGACGGCCUUCGGGUUGUAAACUCCUUUCAGCCAUGACGAAGCCCUUGUGGUGACGGUAGUGGUAGAAGAAGCACCGGCUAACUACGUG